UUUUUUUUUUUUUGUCUUUCACAAUUUAAAAACAUUUCUUAGCUUCUAACAACUUUGCUAGUCCCCUUUUCUUUUCUUUUUCCCUUUUUUUUUAUUUUUUUUUAUUUUUUUUUUUGGGGGCCAAGAAUUUUCAUAAACUUGAGCUAGAUCUUUAUCUACUUAUCCCAAUAAGACUAUUCACUUAAACACAAUGAGUCUAUUCUUUUCCUUCAAACUUUUCAUACUCCCAAAUCAUAAUCACAACACUCACCCCCCACCUAUAGCUAGACAAUAGAGUGCCUAAUCUAGCAAGAAUGAAGAUCAAGCAUUGUCGUUUCCGAUACUCUCAACAUUAUGCACAUGUAAGA
rnacentral:lncRNA from 1 species